rnacentral:rRNA from 1 species
GUAGGUGGCAAGCGUUGUCCGGAAUUAUUGGGCGUAAAGCGCGCGCAGGCGGUUCUUUAAGUCUGAUGUGAAAGCCCACGGCUCAACCGUGGAGGGUCAUUGGAAACUGGAGAACUUGAGUACAGAAGAGGAAAGCGGAAUUCCACGUGUAGCGGUGAAAUGCGUAGAGAUGUGGAGGAACACCAGUGGCGAAGGCGGCUUUCUGGUCUGUAACUGACGCUGAGGCGCGAAAGCGUGGGGAGCAAACAGGAUUAGAUACCCUGGUAGUCCACGCCGUAAACGAUGAGUGCUAAGUGUUAGGGGGUUUUCCCGCCCCCCUUAGUGCUGCAGCUAACGCAUUAAGCACUCCGCCUGGGAGUACGGCCGCAAGGCUG